UACGGGAGGCAGCAGUGGGGAAUAUUGCACAAUGGGCGCAAGCCUGAUGCAGCCAUGCCGCGUGUAUGAAGAAGGCCUUCGGGUUGUAAAGUACUUUCAGUCGUGAGGAAGGUGUUAAGGUUAAUAACCUUAGCAAUUGACGUUAGCGACAGAAGAAGCACCGGCUAACUCCGUGCCAGCAGCCGCGGUAAUACGGAGGGUGCGAGCGUUAAUCGGAAUUACUGGGCGUAAAGGGCACGCAGGCGGUUAAUUAAGUUGGAUGUGAAAUCCCCGGGCUUAACCUGGGAAUGGCAUUCAAGACUGGUUAGCUAGAGUCUUGUAGAGGGGGUAGAAUUCCAUGUGUAGCGGUGAAAUGCGUAGAGAUGUGGAGGAAUACCGGUGGCGAAGGCGGCCCCUGGACAAGACUGACGCUCAUGUGCGAAAGCGUGGGGAGCAAA
rnacentral:rRNA from 1 species